rnacentral:lncRNA from 1 species
CUGAUGAAGAAGAGAAAGAUUAAAAUCUAUUGAAGGAUGUUCAUGAGAAAGAUUUGCAUCUACUGAUGGAUGCUGGAAGAGUUUGAGAGAGCAUCUACUGAUGGAUGCUUCUAUGGAAGAGAAUGCUAACUAGGCAUCUAUUGAUGGAUGUUAGAUGAUUAGGCAUCUAUUGAUGGGUGUUAUGAUGAUGAACUUAUUGGGUCAAGCUAGUGACGAUAAAGAAGCGCUUGUUGGGAGGCAACCCAGUGCUUUGAACCUUUACUUUUUAAUUUUUAAUUUUUCUUUUUUUUUGGUUUUAAUGUGUGUUUUCUUUUAUUUUGUUUAUUGUGACCUGCUUCAAUGAACUAAACUGCUUUGAUUCAACUGUGCUCUGUUUUGUGUGAUAAUUUUGCUUUUUGAAAAUUAUAGUGUUUGAUUAAAGUUAGGAUGAUGCAUGAUGAUAAAUUUGUGAAACAGGUGCUUGAGAUAAAGUUUGAUUAAAAUACUAAGCAGGUUGUUUUUCUGAUUUUGAGAACUUGUGAGUUUACCUGUGUGAGUUUUCAGCUUCAGAGUUGUUCUUAAAUAAGUAUUGUUACUCUGAAAACAUGAAUGAUUUUGCC